rnacentral:sRNA from 1 species
UUAUCUGGUCUCUUGUUUCAGUGCCUCUAGGGGAUCCACGUUCAGAAGCUGACUCUGCAGGCGAGACCAACGUUAUUUUCCCGGUGGCUGUGUUCAAAACCACCCAAAGAGACUGGUGAACUAGAGAAUGCCGAGUCUGGAGGAGAUGGAGGCAGGAGAGGAGGGAAGCGGGAUGACGUUGCCUGGUGGAGGCGGAUGCAGAAGGGGACUUCUGCAAUCUGGCCCUUUUGGGGGCAGGCGUUGCCAUGGGAUUUUUCUACCUCUAUUUUCGAGAUCCUGGAAGAGAAAUCACUUGGAAGCACUUUGUAUAGUAUUACCUGGCCAGAGGUCUGGUGGACCAGCUGGAAAUCCUGAACAAUUUGUGCGUGUUAUUCCUGCCCCUGGGAUCUCUUCUGAAGUGAGGGGUGAAUUUAAGGCUGAGUAUUCCAGACAUAAGUUUAUUUCGUGUAAAAAUGUAGUUUUCUAUUUUUUUCAGUAAAAUACUCCCUUAGUGUCCAUC